rnacentral:lncRNA from 1 species
GGCCCAGGAUCCCCCACCUAUCUUCUCCACCAUCGGCAAUAGGUGGCUAUCUACUACCAGUUUCUCUUCGUUCGCGGUCGUGCUGAAGGGAACUCGGAGGAAUCGUGAGAUUCCACUGGUCCGAAGCUUAGGUAUUUCCCUCCUCCUCCUCCUCCUCCUCAACCUUCUCCCUUAGAAGCUGCUCCUCCCCGAUCUUCCCUCACGGGAGCACCGAUCGGGACCUGACCUCCAUCUUUAGCCAUCGUGAUGCGCGAC